ACAACUUUUGAAAAUGGAAAUUUGAAUAACGUUCAUUUACGCAGGUACCUUAAGUGAACCUGUUAUAGUUAAAUUGUAGAUUUAUGUUAAAUAGUGAUAUAAAAUAAUAAACCAGUUUAAGUAGAACAUAAAAUAAUCAACUUAAGUGCUUAAUAGACGAUGAUUCUCAUCAGCCGGAAGACGUCUACUUCUGGACAAAGGCCUCCCCCAAAGAUCUCCAUGACGAUCGGUCCUGCGCUGCCCUAGUCCAACGUAUUCCGGCGAUCUUGACCAGACCGACGGUCCAUCUUGUGAAGGGCUUACCAACACUGCGUCUCCCGGUACGUGGUCGCCAUUCGAGAUUUUUUCUGCCCCAGAGGCCAUCUGUCCGUCGUACUAUGUGCCCUGCCCACUGCCACUUCAGUUUUGCAAUCAUUUGGACUAUGUCGGUGACUUUGGUUCUCCUGCGGAUCUCCUCAUUUCUGAUUCGAUCUCUCAGGGAAACUCCAAACAUAGCGUAAGGCCUCAUAAUCAUAAGGCCCGUAGUAAGCGACCACAUCUGCGUACCAACAAUGAUAUUAUUUGAUAUUUAAUUACUAAUUAUCGCAUGAGGGGGUGGCUGCAGGAUUUUUUUUUAAAUAUAAAAUAAAAACGAACUUAUCACCUGUUUGGUAUACUAGUCAACUAAGUCUUGUUACAUAGCAGGUUCAAUGAGGAUCAUUAAGUAACAAUAAGUUAAAAUAGAAAUUAAAUUAUAAUUAUAAAUUGGACGUAUUCCCAGAAAAACGUUCCAAACCACAAUUAUGUCGAAAUUGAGUUAAGAACACAAAACUGACCACGUGAUUCAUAUUAAAGGACUGACAAUAAUGGCAGCCCUACCAGCACUCUUUGAAUGACAUCAUGACUUAGUAUACACACAUGUAUGGAAUACACUGAUAUUUAUUAAACUUUAAACAUGAAUUCCAUAAAAUGUGAUGUUUGUGGCUUGGAACGUUUUUCAGCAACUAUGUCCAAUUAUGGCUGUGUGUUGCCGCUACUGUUGUUUGGUUGCAGUCUGCUAACUGCGGGAGCGUGGAUCGUGACGUGGCGUGUCGUCACACGAUAAACCGAUACGCAAGUCGGUGUUCUUGUUGACAUUUGAGCGUCCUUACCCUCGAAGAAUGGACAUAUUCUGUUCAGAGCUGUUAGCCGUAAGCAAGUCUGCGACUAUGUAAUUUAUAUGCUCGGAAUUUCCCUGUGAAAUCGAAUCAGAAAUGUGGAGAUCCGUAGGAGAACCAAAGUCACUAACAUAGCCCAAAUGAUUGCAAAACUGAAGUGGCAGUGGGCAGGGCAUAUAGUUCGACGGACAGAUGGCCGGUGGGGCAGUAAGGUCCUCGAAUGGCGACCACGUACCGGAAGACUCAGUGUUAGUUGGCCCCCACAAGAUGGACCGACGAUCUGGUCCAGAUCGGCAGGGUACAUAGUUUGCCGGGCAGAAACAAAAAAAUUCAACGAUUCGAUUACGAUAGUCCUUCACUCAAAAUAUUGUUAAUUAUAGAUAAUUAUUUAUUAUAAUAUUUAGUAACUCAAAAAGCUUCGUUUUGUCAUCACUUAUCAUAAAAGAUUCAUCGUCUGGUAUAGACUUAACAUUUGUCAUCAGGUAAAAUUGUAAAUUACUAGAAAUAUUAAAAAAAAAAUCUUAAAUAUUGGUGAUAUUGAAAAUAGCAAACAGUUCUAUUCAAGAUGUUGGUUUUAGUGGUAAAAUUAAUUUUGGUGUCCCUUUACGCUGCCAAUGCCAAUUCAGUUUCAUCGCUGGUUACAUGCAAAGAGAAUGACAGCAAAUGUCUGAUACACUCAGUUCAAGCAUUUCUAGCUACAUUUGCAGUUGGACUACCAGAAUUUCAAAUCGCGCCCCUAGAUCCCGUGACGCUUAACAAAAUUAACGCUAGUACUCCAGACUUAAGCUUGUUACUGGAAAAUGUAAAAGUUACGGGAUUAAAAGACUGUCAAGUAAAGAAAUUCGAUUAUAAUGUGAAGAACUCCAAAGUUUUGGCAACAUUUUUAUGCAACGUUAAUGCUGUUGGACAUUAUAACAUGAAAGGACAAUUAAUAAUCGUGCCCAUAGAAGGAG